CCUGACGCAGCGACGCCGCGUGUAGGAAGAAGGCUUUCGGGUCGUAAACCACUGUCAAGAGGGAAGAAACUGUUUGGUUAUAAUACGGCCAUUCACUGACGGUACCUCUAGAGGAAGCACCGGCUAACUCCGUGCCAGCAGCCGCGGUAAUACGGAGGGUGCGAGCGUUAAUCGGAAUCACUGGGCGUAAAGCGUGCGUAGGCGGCGCGGUAAGUCAGACGUGAAAGCCCUCGGCUCAACCGAGGAAUUGCGUUUGAAACUACCGUGCUAGAGUCUCGGAGAGGUUAGGGGAAUUCCAGGUGUAGGAGUGAAAUCCGUAGAUAUCUGGAGGAACACCGGUGGCGAAGGCGCCUAACAGGACGAGUACUGACGCUGAGGUACGAAAGCGUGGGGAGCAAACAGGAUUAGAUACCCUGGUAGUCCACGCCGUAAACGAUGGAUAUUAGGUGUCGGGGGUAACCCUUCGGUGCCGCAGUUAACGCGUUAAAUAUCCCGC
rnacentral:rRNA from 1 species